rnacentral:rRNA from 1 species
GACAGAGGGUGCAAACGUUGUUCGGAAUUACUGGGCGUAAAGCGCGUGUAGGCGGUCUCGCAAGUCGGAUGUGAAAGCCCAGGGCUCAACCCUGGAAGUGCACUCGAUACUGCGAGGCUAGAGUCCCGGAGAGGAUGGUGGAACUCUCGGUGUAGAGGUGAAAUUCGUAGAUAUCGAGAAGAACACCGGUGGCGAAGGCGGCCAUCUGGAUGGUGACUGACGCUGAGACGCGAAAGCGUGGGGAGCAAACAGG